UAUUUGAUUGCGUUUUAAGGCAACAUGAACAUUCUAUGACACAUUCAGAGUAUAUGAUACAUAAGCCCGAAGGCCUACGGUGGGUUCACAGGUGUGUUGUGGAUUUAAGAGCUCCAACCCUCGCUUAUAAUUCGAUAAUGAUCCUUCCGCAGGUUCACCUACGGAAA
rnacentral:misc_RNA from 1 species